GGGACAGGGGAAGCUAGAGAGAAGGAAGGGGCUUCACCAUUUUGGAAUGCAACGCAAGUCGGGAAUCUGCUGCCUGAAUGUUAAGGGACAAAAGCCCAAGCGUUCCCAUACCUUUAAAUGGAUCUUAUUACCAAAAAUUGUCUCCAGGAUCCUCUACUACUUGUGGACUUGAGGGAUGUCUUCGAAUUCCUCUGUAACACCUCCCUCCCUCUGCUCACUGGAGGUUGCUCCAUAAGUGUUGACUUACGACUGCUGGUACUACAAUGCAUUAUUUACCUGAUGGCACUUGGUUGGAAAUAACUGGGGCAGACAGAGAAGGACUCGACGGGGGAAGACUGCGGCUUACACAAAGGAAGUAAUAAGAUGGCCCUAAAAACAUUUGCUAAUGUAUAACUUCUGGGGUUGCUAAAACGGCUUUCAAAUUUUGCAGCCUUUGACACUUUUUCAAUUUUUCCAUGUUUCUCCUGCUGUUCCACUACAGCAGAUAAGAAAUGCUCCAAUCUUGCUGUGUUCUGAAAUAAUGAGGUUGGAAAGAAAAGAUCUUUUUCAUCUCCUUAACAUUAGGAAGAAGAAAGAAAACAUCUAGUCAAAGCCCAGCAGUCCAACAAAUAUUACUCAUG